UUUACUAAAAUGAUGAGAUUAUAGUUCAGCUGAAUAAUCAUGUUGAAACGGGGAUCAUUUGUCUUUCGCCCCUAUCUGAUGUGUACG
ensembl:snoRNA small nucleolar RNA snR60/Z15/Z230/Z193/J17